GACGAACGCUGGCGGCGUGCUUAACACAUGCAAGUCGAACGGAAAGGCCCUGCUUUUGUGGGGUGCUCGAGUGGCGAACGGGUGAGUAACACGUGAGUAACCUGCCCUUGACUUUGGGAUAACUUCAGGAAACUGGGGCUAAUACCGGAUAGGAGCUCCUGCUGCAUGGUGGGGGUUGGAAAGUUUCGGCAGUUGGGGAUGGACUCGCGGCUUAUCAGCUUGUUGGUGGGGUAGUGGCUUACCAAGGCUUUGACGGGUAGCCGGCCUGAGAGGGUGACCGGCCACAUUGGGACUGAGAUACGGCCCAGACUCCUACGGGAGGCAGCAGUGGGGAAUAUUGCACAAUGGGCGGAAGCCUGAUGCAGCAACGCCGCGUGCGGGAUGACGGCCUUCGGGUUGUAAACCGCUUUCGCCUAUGACGAAGCGUGAGUGACGGUAAUGGGUAAAGAAGCACCGGCUAACUACGUG
rnacentral:rRNA from 1 species